UACAGAGGGUGCGAGCGUUAAUCGGAGUUACUGGGCGUAAAGGGCGCGUAGGCGGUCUACUAAGUUGGAUGUGAAAUCCCUGGGCUUAACCUAGGAAUGGCAUUCAAGACUGGAAGACUGGAGUACUGUAGAGGGUAGUGGAAUUUCCGGUGUAGCGGUGAAAUGCGUAGAGAUCGGAAGGAACACCAGUGGCGAAGGCGGCUACCUGGACAGAUACUGACGCUGAGGCGCGAGAGCGUGGGGAGCAAACAGG
rnacentral:rRNA from 1 species